UAUUUAAACAAUUAACGGUAGGGCCAUGAUAUGUUGCAAGUAUGUGACGGCAUAGGAAGAAGAGGAUCGAUCCUCGGUAAUAUCGAUGAAAUAUUCGAGGUCAAGGAGUUGUUUCUGAAACUUCGGACGAUGUGGAUGUGUUCUGAUGUAAAGACUGUGGUCCAAUCUACAGUCAUAUAUUGGGUUGGCAUCAUUAGGUGGUAAUGACAAAAUCCACAAUCACUUGGUUACCAACCCAAUAAAUAUGUCUCGAUACUUAUAUAUUAUACCGAAAGCAUAGAAGAUACUCUCCAAAAAUUGAAUCGCGAAAAGUCAACAUGGAAGGACAUCGAAGUCCUUGUUCUUGCGGGACAUGCUAUAAAUGUCUCAGACAGAGACUGACACACUUCACUUAUCUCUGUCUGUCAUGCAAGAACAACAACUUUGAUGUCAUACAUGUUGAUUUUCCACGACUCAACUUUCGGACGAUUCCACGUAGCAGAUAUCGAGACUUUAUAAGACCGUCGAUUGGGCCACGAUCGUACACACACGUCUGGGAACUCCUACGAAAGGGGAUUUUUUGUGUAACGUUAUCAUGGAGAAAUAACCCAGACCCGGUCGUAUCUGCCCCUUUCUCUGUCUGUCUGUGCCCCCCCCCCCCUCCCCGUUUAAUGCAGCCGUGGACUCGAUUCACGGCAGACCGAGUAGCACGGGAGAUGAAAGGAGGAAACAAGAUCACGACAACGAUUUUAGAGACCAACUUUUGUUUUAUAUGAUUAUUAUGAUUACCUUACUAUUACUUUGUAUUUAACUAAUGUCAAAUAAGUGUUAUGUAACAUAAA